rnacentral:rRNA from 1 species
UACAGAGGUCUCAAGCGUUGUUCGGAUUCAUUGGGCGUAAAGGGUGCGUAGGCGGCGCGGUAAGUCGGGUGUGAAAUCUCGGAGCUUAACUCCGAAACUGCAUUCGAUACUGCCGUGCUUGAGGACUGGAGAGGAGACUGGAAUUUACGGUGUAGCGGUGAAAUGCGUAGAUAUCGUAAGGAAGACCAGUGGCGAAGGCGGAUCUCUGGACAGUUACUGACACUGAGGCACGAAGGCCAGGGG